AUUGAACGCUGGCGGCAGGCCUAACACAUGCACGUCGAACGAGUGGCGGACGGGUGAGUAAUGUCUGGGAAACUGCCUAAUGGAGGGGGAUAACUACUUGAAACGGUAGCUAAUCCCGCAUCCCAUCUGAUAUGCCAAGAUGGGAUUAGCUAGUCGGUGGGUGAAAGGCUCACCUAGUCGACGAUCCCUAGCUGGUCUGAGAGGAUGACCAGACACUCUUGAACCUAGACACGGUCCCGAAUCCUACGUGAGGCAGCAGUGGGGAAUAUUGCGAAAUGGGCGCAAGCCUGAUGCAGCCAUGCAGCGUGUGUGAAGCAGGCCUUCGGGUUGUAAAGUACUUUGAGCGGGGAGGCGUGACCCGCAGAAGAAGCACCGGCUAACGCCGUGCCAGCCGCCGCGGUAAUAC
rnacentral:rRNA from 1 species